UUAUGACCCGGAUAAAACUGUUUCAACACUAAACUAUCGGGUAUAGAAUAUUUGAACUGCUUAGUAAUUUUAUCAUAUCUGAAAGAAACAUAGGGUGGGAAGUUAACUUUUCACCCUUUGUUGUACAAACUCACCUCAGCCCCACGUUGGGUUAAGAUGUAAAAGAUACAGAAGAAGAUAGAAUUGCAUAGUAAUCACCCUUCACGCAAAUUUACCAGGUGUGCCUCUUUUGACGCCUCAAAGUCGUGGAUAGAUGGAAACCCUACAGCUUCAGCUCUGUUAAUACUGAAGUUGUUGAAAGAACAGAGCAUUUACCAGUAGCAAGGCAAUGGCAAAAAGGCCAGCUUAUUGGACGUUGCACUUUCGAAAGUGUUUACAUUGCAAGCAGCCAAGAAACCAGAGUUCUAUGUGCGUUGAAGGAGUUUGAAUAAUUGCCUAAUGAUCCUAAUUUGGCUGAGUGCCUGAGGCAGUUAAAGCAGGUGAUUUUUUUUUUUUUUUUGGUUAUGCUCUAGGAUCCAAUCUAUCCUCUCAUUUGAUCUAAAUAUGCUGGGGAAACUUUCUUUUUUCAUUUCCAGGUAAUUGAUUACUUGGCUACCUCGAUUUUUUCAACCUGUUACACUGGAAAUUGAAGUACUUAGCCAGCUUAGACAUUAGAACAUUCUGCAGUAUUAUGGCAGUGAAAUUGUUGAGGAUCGGCUUAACAAAUGUCUAGAAUACGCAACGGUUGGAUAAAACCAUAUGCAGGAGCAUCUUGGGGCCCUAACCGAAUUGGCCAUCCGCAAUUUGACCCGCCAUUUUAUGACUGGAUUGGCCUACCUGCAUGUCAACAACUCCAUACAGGGGUAAUUCUAAACAAUUGAUCAAGCAUCAUGGGAUGACUUGCAUAUUGGAUAAGGAUGAUAGACCCCUGGGAAAACUCUUUGGCCUGCAAAGGGAUUUAAAGGGGACUAAUUUAUUUUUCGAUGCAUCUGGGAUAGUCAAACUUCCUGACUUUGGGAUUGCUAAACAUGUGAGUUUCCACCUCUUCACUGCAAGACUAGUGAGAGCAUGUAGAAAUUCCUUGCUGAUUUGUGGUGAAUUUACUGGCGAAGUGAAACCAGGGUGGCUGCUAGAUUAGGUUAGGCGCGGAAAGGAAAAAAUGAGAAAGAAAACAUUGCAAGCUUGUUAUCCUUCGUCUUUGGUCUCUCAAUGGAUACUUUGUUUUUGGUUUGUGGCGUUCAAUCAGUGCAAAAGUCUCUUAUGGAUGGAUGAAAUAUUAGUGAAUGGCUUCCUCACUUUUUUUCCCCUUUU